GACGAACGCUGGCGGCGUGCUUAACACAUGCAAGUCGAACGGAAAGGCCGUGCUUUUGUGGGGUGCCCGAGUGGCGAACGGGUGAGUAACACGUGAGUAUCCUGCACUUGACUUUGGGAUAACUUCAGGAAACUGGGGCUAAUACCGGAUAGGAGUUCCUGCUGCAUGGUGGGGGUUGGAAAGUUUCGGUGGGUGUGGAUGGACUCGCGGCUUACCAGCUUGUUGGUGGGGGAGUGGCUUACCAAGGCUUUGGCGGGUGGGCGGCCUGAGAGGGUGACCGGGCACAGGGGGACUGAGAUACGGCCCAGAGUCGUACGGGAGACAGCAGGGGGGAAUAUUGCACAAUGGGGCGAAGCCUGAUGAAGCAGCGCCGCGUGCGGGAUGACGGCCUUCGGGUUGUAAACCGCUGUAAGCUGUGACGAAGCGUGAGUGACGGUAACGGGUGAAGAAGCACCGGCUAACUACGUG
rnacentral:rRNA from 1 species